AUUGUGUUGGAGCUCAGCACGAGCCUACAGCCACUAGUACUAUAUAUAUAUAUAUAUAUAUAUAAAAGUGAGCAAAGUGUACAUUGUAGCGUAGAUUGUAUGGUAAACUUGGAUUUCUCUCAUUGGUGACUAAAUUGUGCCCCCUCCUCUCAUAGACACGUGUUCUUUAGAAAGUUCAUCUUCACCCUUUUCAAUAUCAAACCCCAGUUUCCAACUUCUUUUCUCUGCGGCUGCUUCUUUUCUCGCUCUUUUUAAAUGUUGCUUCUCGAAUAUCGUCAGGUGGUUCUCUGAAUUUCACUAAUUUCCUCGCCUUUUAGGACUUAGAGAGUGAAUCUAAUGUAUUUAUUUUUUUGGAGCCUUGGAGGUCUAUUUUGGUGGUUCAACUCUUGCACGUCUUGGCCAUCUCUGUUACCAUUAAUUGAGCAAUUAUAUUCUCAGAUCUUGGCAAUGAUAUUCAUAUUGCACGGGCUACACAAAAAUUGUGAAUUUAAAAUGAAUCAGUUUGGAUCCAGGUACAUCUGCUAUUGUCGGACGCCAGUGAGUGGACCCAGUUACUUUGGAGACUUCAAGCAUGUGUAUAUGGAUCCAUCCCCCUAGGGUCUCCUUCUCAUGUUUCUCUCUUGAUGGCGUUCAUGCGGAUUGUGGUACCUUGACUGAUGUUGAUUGAUUCUGUUGUGGAGGCAGUUGAUAAUGACUGGAGUGUAAGGGUGGAAGCUUGGCCAUGCAAGGGAAUCCUUUAUGCUUUGUUAUGCAAUUUUAUAUACUUUUAUGUUAGAUUUUAACAUGCUACUCUAUGCCUCUGUUAUUGAAUGAUAAUUCUAUUGUCAAGAUUGAUUUAGCUGUGUUGAGUUGAUAACUCUUGUUUUAUUGAGUUGAUGAUACUACAUUCAAUUAUAUUCUCGUUGCAAGUUAUUUUGUAUAUUCCACAUGUUCUUUGAUUAGUGAGUAUCACAUGACUUGAACCUUGUCAUUACUUUAUCGAGGUUAGUCUUGAUACUUACUAAGUACAUGUUGUCCUGUACACAUACUACGCUGCUGUAUGUUUUGUGCAGAUCCGGGAGUUGGCAGCAGUGGAUGUUGAGAGUGAGAUUUUGAUUGAUCGAGAGGAUUCACGGUAUUGUUGCAUGGACGUCACAGACCCUUGGAAUCUCCUUCCUUUAUCUUAUGAUAUUAUUUUUCAUUCAAAUUGUUUAGUACUAUUGAGACAUAUUAUGUAUUUGGUUUUAGAGCUCAUGACUCUGUACUACCUGAUUUUGGGAGUUUGGUUUAUGUAUUACUGUAUUAGCUAUUGUUGGAGCUUUAUACUACUAUUUAUGUUAAUUCAGUCUUUUAAUA